UACGUAGGCAGCGAGCGUUGUUCGGAGUUACUGGGCGUAAAGGGUGCGUAGGUGGUCGGGUAAGUCUGAGGUGAAAUCUCCGAGCUCAACUCGGAAACUGCCUUGGAUACUAUCCGGCUUGAGGGUUGGAGGGGGGACUGGAAUUCUCGGUGUAGCAGUGAAAUGCGUAGAUAUCGAGAGGAACACCAGUGGCGAAGGCGAGUCCCUGGACAACUCCUGACGCUGAGGCACGAAAGCUAGGGGAGCAAACAGG
rnacentral:rRNA from 1 species